rnacentral:ncRNA from 1 species
GAAACAGCUCUUUUAAGAGCUACCCAAAUCUUUCAAAAAGAUGUUU